rnacentral:RNase_MRP_RNA from 1 species
CGGUUCUUCCUAGCUCAACUCUCGUGGUUCCAUACGAGCUAGCAUGAUAGCUCAUUCGUUGCUUCCCUCCCGAAGCAUGCCAUGGGAAAAGUCCCCGGGCCCUGGACAGAAAGUGUCAGGACGUAACUCGUCCCUAUUGCACGCAGUUAGAAGUUAGAAGGCGGGGGAUUGUGCCACUGUGUGCAUCCCUUCCCUUUGACUUAGACAGGGUGUAAAAUUGCCAGACUCAUUGUAAAGUUAUGUUGAGGGAACCAAGGAAGGGAACAGUUGAGUCUACGCUCUUCCACUCCCUUCCUCUCUCACACAAUGGGGCUUACUCAGAAAGAACU